AAAGAUCGCAGCCUUCGGCAGCUCCUACAGGGAAAUGCAUUCAAGAUGUAGCAGCUGCCGAAGGCUGCGAUCUUU
rnacentral:misc_RNA from 1 species